CCUACGGGAGGCAGCAGUGGGGAAUCUUGCGCAAUGGGGGCAACCCUGACGCAGCCAUGCCGCGUGAAUGAUGAAGGCCUUAGGGUUGUAAAGUUCUUUUGCCCGUGACGAUGAUGACGGUAACGGGAGAAUAAGCUCCGGCUAACUUCGUGCCAGCAGCCGCGGUAAUA
rnacentral:rRNA from 1 species